rnacentral:rRNA from 1 species
CAACCGUAAAAUUGCAGUUGAAACUGGAAGCCUUGAGUGCGGCAGAGGCAGGCGGAAUUCGUGGUGUAGCGGUGGAAUGCUUAGAUAUCACGAAGAACUCCGAUUGCGAAGGCAGCUUGCUGGAGCGUAACUGACGCUGAUGCUCGAAAGUGCGGGUAUCGAACAGGAUUAGAUACCCUGGUAGUCCGCGCGGUAAACGAUGGAUGCCCGCCGUGGGGGAAAUAUUUUCCGCGGCCAAGCGAAAGCGUUAAGCAUCCCACCUGGGGAGUACGCCGGCAACGGUGAAACUCAAAGGAAUUGACGGGGGCCCGCACAAGCGGAGGAACAUGUGGUUUAAUUCGAUGAUACGCGAGGAACCUUACCCGGGCUUGAAUUGCAGGUGCAUGGGGUGGAGACAUCCCUUUCCUUCGGGACUCCUGUGAAGGUGCUGCAUGGUUGUCGUCAGCUCGUGCCGUGAGGUGUCGGCUUAAGUGCCAUAACGAGCGCAACCCCUCUCCGUAGUUGCCAUCGGGUUAGGCCGGGCACUCUGCGGACACUGCCUCCGCAAGGAGUGAGGAAGGUGGGGAUGACGUCAAAUCAGCACGGCCCUUACGUCCGGGGCUACACACGUGUUACAAUGGGGCAUACAGAGAGCUGGGUGUACGCAAGUGCGCCCGAAUCAAGAAAGUGCCUCUCAGUUCGGACUGGGGUCUGCAACCCGACCCCACGAAGCUGGAUUCGCUAGUAAUCGCGCAUCAGCCAUGGCGCGGUGAAUACGUUCCCGGGCCUUGUACACACCGCCCGUCAAGCCAUG